rnacentral:piRNA from 1 species
UGAAACAGAGGAAGUGCAGUGUGCUC